UUCAGAAUUGCCUAGUUUGAGUUAAUGUACAAAGAUGGGUAGUUUGGGUGCAUAAUAUUAGAACGUUAGCAGAUGAUUUAUACAUUGUGGUUUAUAUUAAAAGUUUAUAGAUGGUUUAGUUAUAAAGAUGAAUGCAAUUAUGGAAGGAAGUGAUUUGAGAAGGAUACAAAAGGGGGUAUGUCAGAAGUCUAACUUGGUUCAAUCAAGCAUGAUUACAGAUAUAGUUGUUUUUAGUUUAUACGCAGUACAAGUAAAUGUGUGAGAUAAGGAAAAUAGUUAAAGCAAAUGAUACAAAUAUAGGGACUGAUUAGAGCAUGUAUGGUGCAAAUAAUUGAUGAGAGUCAAUAGGUUAUCUCUAAGUGUGUGAAUUCAUGAACAGUUAAUUUAUGAUCCGUUCGAUCUAUUUCAUUUGUACAGUUAUUACGGAGCAUUUUGGAGCAACGAGCAAUUGGAACAAUAAAGAAACGACCAAAUACAAAAUCAACUAUGCUUCAGCUACAGAAUGGAAAAGGUGACUGCUUGAGCAGCUCGAGCGGCGUUGAGAACCAGGCGUCCUUAUUUCGGCGAUCAGCGACCUUUUCGUUCACUGAUUUGUUCUUUGAUUGUAUAUUUUGCUUGUUGGCUCCCUUGGAUAUCGGCUUUUAUAGAGGGAAACAAGGCAUCGUCUCAAAGUCCUCAACGACCUUGUCCUCGAACCUCUUCGGACGCUGUUCUUCAGUUCUUCUGUCUACUUAAAGUGCCAGGUCCUUUACACACUGACUGACCUUCUACGGAACUACGUAACCUACGAGAUUAGCCGGUAUCACGAGACAGCAUCAAGGCAGAAGGUGGAGGAGACAGAGGAGGUCUUGGUGUAGGAGGAUGAUUAUAUGGAGGAACGUCCCCUUCAUUCGAGUUCAUCUGUAUUCUCUGUUCCGGGGGCGUACUUUGACCCGAUGAACACGGUCAGGAAGCUGGUAGAGUUUGUGGAAGGACUGUGCUCUGUCGCUCUUCAGCUUCACCAGCAUCAUUUUCUCCUCUUGCAUCACGCACUCACCUUCUUUGAACAGGUGAGUUAUUACUUUCAACUGAUUCAGGAAUCUGACUUCAGAUUGAUUACUGGCACUUAGAAAUGCCCUCACGAGACCUCUGUAUUAAAGAUGGUUUGUCCCUUUGCAUACCUACAAACCUGAAGUUAUAUGAAUCCAAUG